rnacentral:rRNA from 1 species
UACGGGGGGAGCAAGCGUUGUUCGGAUUUACUGGGCGUAAAGGGCGCGUAGGCGGUCAGCACAAGUCAGUUGUGAAAUCUCCGGGCUUAACUCGGAAAGGUCAACUGAUACUGUGCGACUAGAGUGCGGAAGGGGCAACUGGAAUUCUCGGUGUAGCGGUGAAAUGCGUAGAUAUCAGGAGGAACACCGGUGGCGAAAGCGCGUAACUGGGUCAUAACUGACGCUGAGGAACGAAAGCCAGGGUAGCAAAAAGG